AUUGAACGCUGGCGGCAGGCUUAACACAUGCAAGUCGAGCGGAGAUGAGGUGCUUGCACCUUAUCUUAGCGGCGGACGGGUGAGUAAUGCUUAGGAAUCUGCCUAUUAGUGGGGGACAACAUUCCGAAAGGAAUGCUAAUACCGCAUUCGUCCUACGGGAGAAAGCAGGGGAUCUUCGGACCUUGCGCUAAUAGAUGAGCCUAAGUCGGAUUAGCUAGUUGGUGGGGUAAAGGCCUACCAAGGCGACGAUCUGUAGCGGGUCUGAGAGGAUGAUCCGCCACACUGGGACUGAGACACGGCCCAGACUCCUACGGGAGGCAGCAGUGGGGAAUAUUGGACAAUGGGGGGAACCCUGAUCCAGCCAUGCCGCGUGUGUGAAGAAGGCCUUAUGGUUGUAAAGCACUUUAAGCGAGGAGGAGGCUACUGAGACUAACACUCUUGGAUAGUGGACGUUACUCGCAGAAUAAGCACCGGCUAACUCUGUGCCAGCCGCCGCGGUAACAC
rnacentral:rRNA from 1 species